GGAGCCGUAGCGAAAGCGAGUUUUAACUGAGCGUUCAGUUACUUGACGUAGACCCGAAACCGGGCGACCUACCCAUGAGCAGGAUGAAGCGAAAGUAAAAUUUCGUGGAGGUCCGAACCCACGAGCGUUGAAAAGCUCGGGGAUGACUUGUGGGUAGCGGUGAAAUUCCAAUCGAGCCCGGAGAUAGCUGGUUCUCCCCGAAAUAGCUUUAGGGCUAGCCUCAAGGUGAGAGAUACGGAGGUAGAGCACUGAAUGUCCUAGGGGGUAUUGCACCUACCGAAGACUAUCAAACUCCGAAUGCCGUCAUCUUAUACUUGGGAGUCAGACUGUGGGUGAUAAGAUUCAUAGUCGAAAGGGCAACAGCCCAGAUCGUCAGCUAAGGUCCCUAAAUGUAAGUUAAGUGGUAAAGGAUGUGGGAUUGCACAGACAACCAGGAUGUUGGCUUAGAAGCAGCCACUCAUUCAAAGAGUGCGUA
rnacentral:rRNA from 1 species